UAGUGGCGGACGGGUGAGUAACGCGUGAGGAACCUGCCUUGGAGUGGGGAAUAACAGCCCGAAAGGGUUGCUAAUACCGCAUGAUGCAGCUGGGUCGCAUGGCCCUGGCUGCCAAAGAUUUAUCGCUCUGAGAUGGCCUCGCGUCUGAUUAGCUAGUAGGCGGGGUAACGGCCCACCUAGGCGACGAUCAGUAGCCGGACUGAGAGGUUGGCC
rnacentral:rRNA from 1 species